rnacentral:piRNA from 1 species
CUUACAGUGUUCCUGAUGGGUGAU